UUAGUUUACUAAUUGGGUGGCGACCGGCGCACGGGUGCGUAACGCGUAUGCAACCUACCUUGUACUGGGGUAUAGCCCGGAGAAAUUCGGAUUAAUCCCCCAUAGUAUUAAACAACCGCAUGGUUGAAUAAUUAAGGGUUACGGUACAAGAUGGGCAUGCGUCCUAUUAGCUAGAUGGUGAGGUAACGGCUCACCAUGGCGACGAUAGGUAGGGGGCCUGAGAGGGUGGUCCCCCACACUGGUACUGAGACACGGACCAGACUCCUACGGGAGGCAGCAGUGAGGAAUAUUGGUCAAUGGGCGCAAGCCUGAACCAGCCAUGCCGCGUGCAGGAAGAAUGCCCUAUGGGUUGUAAACUGCUUUUAUUUAGGAAUAAACUCUUGUACGUGUACAAGCCUGAAGGUACUAAAUGAAUAAGCACCGGCUAACUCCGUGCCAGCAGCCGCGGUAAUACGGAGGGUGCAAGCGUUAUCCGGAAUCAUUGGGUUUAAAGGGUCCGC
rnacentral:rRNA from 1 species